rnacentral:ncRNA from 1 species
CAAGGGUCCGGCUGUUCGCCGGUUAAAAGGGUACGUGAGCUGGGUUUAGAACGUCGUGAGACAGUUCGGUCUCUAUCUGGUGUGGGCGCUCGAUACUUGAAGGGGAAAUCUUCUCAGUACGAGAGGACCGGAAGAUACAAACCUCUGGUGUUCCAGUUAUCCUGCCAAGGGUAAUGGCUGGGUAGCCACGUUUGGAAGGGAUAAGCACUGAAUGCAUCUAAGUGCGAAGCCAACCUCAAGAUAAAGUAUCGUUUCCCGCUUCGGCGGGAUACAGGCUCCUCGUAGACUACGAGGUUGAUAGGCUGCAUGUGUAAGACCAGUAAUGGUUUCAGCAAAGCAGUACUAAUAAGCCGAACGCUUGACCUU